rnacentral:miRNA from 1 species
UGAAGAGUCUCAGACUUGGUCUUACGCU